rnacentral:rRNA from 1 species
UACGUAGGGCGCAAGCGUUAUCCGGAAUUAUUGGGCGUAAAGAGCUCGUAGGCGGUUUGUCGCGUCUGGCGUGAAAGUCCGGGGCUCAACUCCGGAUCUGCGGUGGGUACGGGCAGACUAGAGUGAUGUAGGGGAGAGUGGAAUUCCUGGUGUAGCGGUGAAAUGCGCAGAUAUCAGGAGGAACACCGAUGGCGAAGGCAGGUCUCUGGGCAUUAACUGACGCUGAGGAGCGAAAGCAUGGGGAGCGAACAGG